rnacentral:rRNA from 1 species
CCCAUUGUAUUUAUACCAUGUUGCUUCCAUUGGACAGGCUUUGAUCGUAAGAGCCCGCCCUCUGGCCUCGGCUGGGGAGUGCUGGUGGAUAGCCCCUCUUGAAACUUUAUUGAAUUUUAAUAUCCAGUCUGAAUAAAAAACAAACUUGAAUAAAACUUUCAACAACGGAUCUCUAGGCUCUUGCAUCGAUGAAGAACGCAGUGAAAUGCGAUACGUAAUGUGAAUUGCAGAAUUUCGUGAAUCAUUGAAUCUUUGAACGCACAUUGCGCCUUAUGGUAUUCCAUAGGGCAUGCCUGUCUGAGCGUCAGCUACCCCCAACCUCAAGUAUUUUGCUUGGAUAUCUUUGGAGAAGCUAUACUCAAGGUGUAGCUCUUCAUAAAAGCAUAGGCAGUACGGAUUUUUUUCUGUUGCUGAACGUAAUAUUAUAAAUGUAACGUUUGCAUGGAAGCUUCUGUGUUUGUCUUCAAACCCACUUAUUCUAAAUGGGUGACCUCAGAUCAGGUAGGGAUACCCGCUGAACUUAAGCAUAUCAAUAAGCGGAGGAAAAGAAACCAACAGGGAUUGCCUCA